UGAGGAAUAUUGGGCAAUGCCCGAAAGGGUGACCCAGCAACGCCGCGUGGAGGAUGAAGGUCGUAAGAUUGUAAACUCCUGUUAGAGGGGAAGAAUAAUUAAGUUUGGAGCUUAGUAUGACUGUACCCUCAGAGAAAGCCCCGGCUAACUACGUGCCAGCAGCCGCGGUAAUACGUAGGGGGCAAGCGUUGUCCGGAUUUACUGGGUGUAAAGGGCGCGCAGGCGGAAUGGAAAGUCAGUGGUGAAAUCUCCGAGCUUAACUCGGAAACUGCCGUUGAUACUAUUUGUCUUGAAUAUUGUGGAGGUAAGCGGAAUAUGUCAUGUAGCGGUGAAAUGCUUAGAUAUGACAUAGAACACCAAUUGCGAAGGCAGCUUGCUACACAAUCAUUGACGCUGAGGCACGAAAGCGUGGGGAUCAAACA
rnacentral:rRNA from 1 species